rnacentral:rRNA from 1 species
UACGGGGGGGGCAAGCGUUGUUCGGAAUUACUGGGCGUAAAGGGCUCGUAGGUGGCCAACUAAGUCAGACGUGAAAUCCCUCGGCUUAACCGGGGAACUGCGUCCGAUACUGGCGGGCUUGAAUCCGGGAGAGGGAUGCGGAAUUCCAGGUGUAGCGGUGAAAUGCGUAGAUAUCUGGAGGAACACCGGUGGCGAAGGCGGCAUCCUGGACCGGCAUUGACGCUGAGGCGCGAAAGCUAGGGGAGCAAACGGG